CACACUAUCAUUAACUGAAUCCAUAGGUUAAUGAGGCGAACCGGGGGAACUGAAACAUCUAAGUACCCCGAGGAAAAGAAAUCAACCGAGAUUCCCCCAGUAGCGGCGAGCGAACGGGGAGCAGCCCAGAGCCUGAAUCAGUGUGUGUGUUAGUGGAAGCGUCUGGAAAGGCGCGCGAUACAGGGUGACAGCCCCGUACACAAAAAUGCACAUGCUGUGAGCUCGAUGAGUAGGGCGGGACACGUGGUAUCCUGUCUGAAUAUGGGGGGACCAUCCUCCAAGGCUAAAUACUCCUGACUGACCGAUAGUGAACCAGUACCGUGAGGGAAAGGCGAAAAGAACCCCGGCGAGGGGAGUGAAAAAGAACCUGAAACCGUGUACGUACAAGCAGUGGGAGCACAGAGCAAUCUGUGUGACUGCGUACCUUUUGUAUAAUGGGUCAGCGACUUAUAUUCUGUAGCAAGGUUAACCGAAUAGGGGAGCCGAAGGGAAACCGAGUCUUAACUGGGCGUUAAGUUGCAGGGUAUAGACCCGAAACCCGGUGAUCUAGCCAUGGGCAGGUUGAAGGUUGGGUAACACUAACUGGAGGACCGAACCGACUAAUGUUGAAAAAUUAGCGGAUGACUUGUGGCUGGGGGUGAAAGGCCAAUCAAACCGGGAGAUAGCUGGUUCUCCCCGAAAGCUAUUUAGGUAGCGCCUCGUGAAUUCAUCUCCGGGGGUAGAGCACUGUUUCGGCAAGGGGGUCAUCCCGACUUACCAACCCGAUGCAAACUGCGAAUACCGGAGAAUGUUAUCACGGGAGACACACGGCGGGUGCUAACGUCCGUCGUGAAGAGGGAAACAACCCAGACCGCCAGCUAAGGUCCCAAAGUCAUGGUUAAGUGGGAAACGAUGUGGGAAGGCCCAGACAGCCAGGAUGUUGGCUUAGAAGCAGCCAUCAUUUAAAGAAAGCGUAAUAGCUCACUGGUCGAGUCGGCCUGCGCGGAAGAUGUAACGGGGCUAAACCAUGCACCGAAGCUGCGGCAGCGACGCUUAUGCGUUGUUGGGUAGGGGAGCGUUCUGUAAGCCUGUGAAGGUGUGCUGUGAGGCAUGCUGGAGGUAUCAGAAGUGCGAAUGCUGACAUAAGUAACGAUAAAGCGGGUGAAAAGCCCGCUCGCCGGAAGACCAAGGGUUCCUGUCCAACGUUAAUCGGGGCAGGGUGAGUCGACCCCUAAGGCGAGGCCGAAAGGCGUAGUCGAUGGGAAACAGGUUAAUAUUCCUGUACUUGGUGUUACUGCGAAGGGGGGACGGAGAAGGCUAUGUUGGCCGGGCGACGGUUGUCCCGGUUUAAGCGUGUAGGCUGGUUUUCCAGGCAAAUCCGGAAAAUCAAGGCUGAGGCGUGAUGACGAGGCACUACGGUGCUGAAGCAACAAAUGCCCUGCUUCCAGGAAAAGCCUCUAAGCAUCAGGUAACAUCAAAUCGUACCCCAAACCGACACAGGUGGUCAGGUAGAGAAUACCAAGGCGCUUGAGAGAACUCGGGUGAAGGAACUAGGCAAAAUGGUGCCGUAACUUCGGGAGAAGGCACGCUGAUAUGUAGGUGAAGUCCCUCGCGGAUGGAGCUGAAAUCAGUCGAAGAUACCAGCUGGCUGCAACUGUUUAUUAAAAACACAGCACUGUGCAAACACGAAAGUGGACGUAUACGGUGUGACGCCUGCCCGGUGCCGGAAGGUUAAUUGAUGGGGUUAGCGCAAGCGAAGCUCUUGAUCGAAGCCCCGGUAAACGGCGGCCGUAACUAUAACGGUCCUAAGGUAGCGAAAUUCCUUGUCGGGUAAGUUCCGACCUGCACGAAUGGCGUAAUGAUGGCCAGGCUGUCUCCACCCGAGACUCAGUGAAAUUGAACUCGCUGUGAAGAUGCAGUGUACCCGCGGCAAGACGGAAAGACCCCGUGAACCUUUACUAUAGCUUGACACUGAACAUUGAGCCUUGAUGUGUAGGAUAGGUGGGAGGCUUUGAAGUGUGGACGCCAGUCUGCAUGGAGCCGACCUUGAAAUACCACCCUUUAAUGUUUGAUGUUCUAACGUUGACCCGUGAUCCGGGUUGCGGACAGUGUCUGGUGGGUAGUUUGACUGGGGCGGUCUCCUCCUAAAGAGUAACGGAGGAGCACGAAGGUUGGCUAAUCCUGGUCGGACAUCAGGAGGUUAGUGCAAUGGCAUAAGCCAGCUUGACUGCGAGCGUGACGGCGCGAGCAGGUGCGAAAGCAGGUCAUAGUGAUCCGGUGGUUCUGAAUGGAAGGGCCAUCGCUCAACGGAUAAAAGGUACUCCGGGGAUAACAGGCUGAUACCGCCCAAGAGUUCAUAUCGACGGCGGUGUUUGGCACCUCGAUGUCGGCUCAUCACAUCCUGGGGCUGAAGUAGGUCCCAAGGGUAUGGCUGUUCGCCAUUUAAAGUGGUACGCGAGCUGGGUUUAGAACGUCGUGAGACAGUUCGGUCCCUAUCUGCCGUGGGCGCUGGAGAACUGAGGGGGGCUGCUCCUAGUACGAGAGGACCGGAGUGGACGCAUCACUGGUGUUCGGGUUGUCAUGCCAAUGGCACUGCCCGGUAGCUAAAUGCGGAAGAGAUAAGUGCUGAAAGCAUCUAAGCACGAAACUUGCCCCGAGAUGAGUUCUCCCUGACUCCUUGAGAGUCCUGAAGGAACGUUGAAGACGACGACGUUGAUAGGCCGGGUGUGUAAGCGCAGCGAUGCGUUGAGCUAACCGGUACUAAUGAACCGUGAGGCUUAACCUUACA
rnacentral:rRNA from 1 species